CCCAUGAUCACAUAGAUAGUGGACUCAGCUUUGUAAAUAUGUGAAUGAAUAUCCAAUUGCUGUGGAUGAUGAAUUUCUGUAUUAUAUAAUAUUCUGUCCUUAUCUUUUUGGAAUAAAUUACCGGAUUGGCAUUAUCUUCAACAAUAAUUACGAGAUCAGGACAGUUCACCGGUACUUGCGUAUUUGAGCAUUUCUCAUAUGACGAAAAUACAAUUUUGCCCUUCUUCUUUUACAGUUUUAAUCUGAUUUUUGAUUAAAACAAAAAUGAUGUCGAGCUUUGUUUUAGAAUUCCGGUGAACGAGAUGGUCAUUGCAACGAUGAAAUCCGGUGAUAAUGAUGAGAUCCGGUCAAGAUGAAGAGAAGAAGAAGACGACGCUGUAAAUGAGAUGGUUGUGGUGAUGAUGAGACCCGGUGACAACGGCGGCUUGCACCGUGGUGAGAAGCAAGUAGAAGAAGGUGAUGGUAAGAUUAAGAACGACUAAAUCUUGAAUCUCGACUUAUAACAGCGGCGAUGGUGAGCUCAGCCUUGAUGAUGGUGACUUGAACAGUGUUAAAAGCUUUCUCCAAGAUUUUUCAAUCACAAACAUGUAAUUUUCAAUUUGAUUUAAAUUAGAAGAUGAAUUGAAAGUUUUUAUUCAAUUCAAUUGGAAGUUUUGAUUCAAUUAAUGUUUAUAAUUACAGCCCUUGGGUUUACUAAAUUGUUAUUAGGGUUUAGAUUUCUUUAUUUAAAAACAAUCAAUCAAGAUGGUGUUGGUGGCGGAGACGAGAUGGUGUUGGUGGCCAGAGACGUUUUGUAAGUCGCCGAAGGAGAUGGUGUUAAUGGAGGUGAAAGUGACGGCGGCAAAAUAUUUGGCAGAGCCGGAGCGAGCACAACGGUGAGAACCGAUGGUCGUAAUCGGAGAAGCUAGGUUAUUGUGGUCGGAAGCGAGAACACGACGGUGAGAUUGGUUUCAGCAAGGUAAAGAAGACAGGGGUAUAACGGUCUUUUUCCGUCUGCACAAAUACCUAAAUCUGCAAGCCCAGACAGUAAAUGUCUUAUCUCAAAUUUUAGGCCCAAAAAAUGCCCAUUUCCGUAAUAAACCCUAUCUUUUUGUAUCAAACCAUAGUUUUAAAAACACCCUGCUACCAUAAUGAAUCUUUCAACCAUUGUACCACGGCGGGUUACAUGUCGUAAAAUAUGAGCUAUUUGUUCUUCUUUUGUUUUUUUUUUUUUUUUUUUUUUUGAAUAUCAAGAUGUUCCGUGUCAAAUCCCGUAAGCC
rnacentral:lncRNA from 1 species